GGUUUUAAUGAAUGAAGGCUGAAGAAACUCCACAGAGAUGGUGACUUUCCCCCAGCACAGCUCUUGCCCUCAAGGAAGAGACACUCGACCAAACAGGCAACUGGAAACAGGAUGGCUUCGUGGGCGUGUGUGACUUACACAGGGCUGUGCACUCAGAAGAAUCCCGUGACUGACUUAGGCUCUGCAGCUGCCAUCUUGAAAUUCUUAAUAACUUUUGAAUGGUGUUGGGGGUGGGGUUGGAGGGGAUGGUCCACACUUUCAUUUUGCACUGGGCACUACAAAUUAUGUGACCGGCUCUGAUUAAAAUGCUACAAGAACUAA
rnacentral:lncRNA from 10 species